rnacentral:tRNA from 1 species
GAACAUAUGGCUUAGUGGUCAGAGCGCUUGGACGAAUAGCAAGAGGGGGGUUCAAAUCCCGCUACGUUUA